rnacentral:tRNA from 1 species
GGGCCGGUAGCUCAGCUGGGAGAGCGCUUCCCUCGCACGGAAGAGGUCGGGCGUUCAAAUCGCCUCCGGUCCA